UUCUAACUGCAGAGGGAAUAUUUGUGCUAAAGACCUGAGUGCCCAAGGAAACAGCCACGGAAUCAGGUGCUAGAGCAUUUGGGGGUGGAGAAACAGCACUUUCAGGCGGAAACAAGCCUGGAGUGUUCUACGGAUGAAAAAUAAGGCAGUGUGUUUAAAGAACAAAGACUGGACAUAGGUGAGGUCAGCAUCUAUACUCUCUCCCUGCUCUACUGUUCUACCCUUCCUAACCAAUGACAUGGACCUUGGCUAAGGCUGAUGAAAGCAUGGGAAGGUUCUUUGCAGUUCAGGGACUCUUCUGUCAAUUCCUGGACCUAGACACAGUUCAUCAAGAAGACUGAAUUUGUUUAUAGUUUGUGUUAAGGAUGCAGCUUUGAAAAAAAGGCAAGUUAUUUGUUCUAAUCAAGUGUGCAUCCUAGCGGAGAAAACAGUCUUUGAGACGAUGAAAAAGAGCUUAAGAUGGUUCAAGUUGCUUCACUCUCUGCUAUCUCUGUUCCAACCUCAGGAAAAGAGUGAUGCUCAUUCUCUAAAAGAAGGAUAAAAUGAAAAGUCUGACAAAGGAUUCAUCUCAAAGCCAGCCCAAUUGGUUUCCUCCCAAAGAAAGAACUCUCUUUCCAUCCUGGGCUACUGCAAAGCCAGUAUCACUGACUUAAUACCAAGGAGGUGGAGAAGGAUGGUGGGGACUCCUGAAAAGUGACACUCACGAUGACUCAUUUUCAUGUAAAAUGUGGAAGUCUACGGUGCCAAUGCCCACAAUCCCUGUGUCUUGCAUGCUGGAAGAUUGUCAUCGGCAGAAUCCUGAAUCAAAGUUCAACGAAUCCUUCUGAAAUUUGUGUAUCGAAAUUCUGAAGAGGACCAUAAAUCUACCUCAAAAAUUUCCCUUUUGACAACUUUUCCAUUUUCCAUGCCCUGAAUAAUUUCUACUACUUCAAUAGUAGCAGAAACAUCUAAUUUUGCCAAAUCUUUUUUCUGCUUUAAUGGGAUAUCCUCCGUGCUCUGUUUUUCUCUGUUGUUUCUUUUAGGCAGACUUUGCAUUUUAAUCUUUUCAAGUUGUCCCUUCUCUUCUAAGUGUAUGUUUUUCCCCCUCUUUGCUUUUUGGUCAAGAUAAUACUUUUUAAGUUAUUAUUAAUAUUAAAUAUUCAACUAACCCAGGAUUAGAUUCUGUUAAUGUCCUGCCUGGUUUCUCUUUAGUAUAUUUCACAUUCCCUAUGCCUUUCUUUAGAGUCCUAACUACAUACGUUCCCCUGGUGUGCUAUCAAAGGAUGUAUGUCAUACUGAAACGAAUCUAAAACUCAUAGGGUAAGUCACAAUAAUCUUCUUAGUCCCCUUUCAAAUCUAUCCCAUUUUUUUCUUAUCAUGUUACUAUGUACCAUUCCUUGAUGAAUGAUUAGCCUAGUGCUAUAUUUAUUGACUUCAUGCCUAAAGUUAACAGGGAAAAAUCUCAGUCCUCCUUUGAACCAGGCUUUCUUGGGAGAAUCACUUCAGUUUACUUCAUGAGGUCACGCCUUUUCUAUUAGGUUUCUCUGACCCAAUUCAGCCCAGUAAUAACUCCCAUAUUGCUGUCUUUAUAAUAUCAUUUUAAAAGGAGUAAGUUCUGAGUAUGUCUGUUAGAAUAUGAAUUCUAUGAAGAGCAGGGAUUUUUCUUUUUUUUUUAUUUUACUAAAAAGUAUUGCAAGUCCCUAAAGAACUAUUUUUCCAAUAAAUAAAUAAGUCUUUAUUUUUAGUCUGUCAUAUAGAUCUAGUGUGACUUCAAUGACCUUGCCUCCCUUUAAGUAUGUCUCUUUAAUAAUCCUUAUUACUUCCUAGUGUGCUUAUUGCUAUUUCCAGAGUUAAAAUAACUUCCUAAGCUUCGUUCUUCUAACAUCUUGAAAUUCCUCUGGUGUCCCAAGUUCUUAUACUCUUUGGUGCCAAUGGAUUCUCCACAAUA